rnacentral:rRNA from 1 species
UGUGCAAUUCAAUAUAAUUUGAAAAUAAAAAAAUUAUUUAUUUUAUUAUAAUUUAUUUUUUAAUAAAAAUAAUUUUAAUAGUUUAGUUUUUAGUAUAUUUUAUUGAAAAGAUUAGUUUAAUUAUAGUUUAUUAGUAUUGUAAAAGAAAUUUGAAUUAUGAGUUAAUUUGUUAAAAGUAAAAUUUAUUUUUUGUACCUUGUGUAUCAGGGUUUAUAAAUUUAUUAAUAUAAAUUUUAUUUUUCCCGAAUUUAAGAGAGAGAAUAAAUAAUUUUUUUUAUUGUAAAAAAAAUAUUUAAAAUUGUUUAUUAGUAAUGAAAAGUUAUUCGUUCUUAAAUAUAUCUGGUUUAUUUAGAAAUGAAUUUAAUUCAGUUAAUUUAUUUUAAUUAAUUUAUUUUUUUAAAUUAAUUAAUUUUAUUAAUAAUAAUUAAAGGGAUAAGCUUUUAAUUAAAUUUUUAUAAUUUAAAAUAAUUAUUAUAAAUUUAUAGGUUUAGAAAUAUCCAUUAUUUAUAUAAUGUUAUAAUUAAUUUAUAAUUUAGUAUUAUUUUAAAAAUAUUUAAUUUUUUAUAAAUAAUAAAAAAGUAAUUAAAAAAUUUUAGUUAUAAUGAUAAAAUUAGUAUAUAUAAAUGUUUAAUUAAAUAUUAUUUUUAGGUUAAUUAAAGUAAUUCGGCAAUUUUUUUAUUCGCCUGUUUAACAAAAACAUGUCCUUUAGAUUUAGAAUUUAAGGUCUAACCUGCCCAAUGAUUAAUUUAAUGGCCGCAGUAAUUUGACUGUGCAAAGGUAGCAUAAUCAUUAGUUUUUUAAUUAAAAGCUUGUAUGAAUGGUUGGACGAGAUAAAGACUGUCUCUGAUUAAUUAAUAGAAUUUAAUUUUUAAGUUAAAAAGCUUAAAUAUAUAUAAAAGACGAGAAGACCCUAUAGAUCUUUAUAUAAUUUUUUUUUAAUUUUAAUAAUGAUUAGAUAAUUUAUUAAAAACUAUUAUAUUUUAUUGGGGUAAUAAAAAGAUUAAAAUAAUUCUUUUUUAUUAAACAUAAAUUAAUGAUUAUAUGAUCCAUUUUUAUUGAUUAUAAGAUUAAGUUACCUUAGGGAUAACAGCGUAAUUUUUUUAGAGAGUUCUUAUCGAUAAAAAAGUUUGCGACCUCGAUGUUGGAUUAAAAAUUAUUUUAGGCGUAGAAGUUUAAAAUUUUGGUCUGUUCGACCAUUGAAUUUUUACAUGAUCUGAGUUCAGACCGGUGUAAGCCAGGUCGGUUUCUAUCUUUAUUAGUAUAAAAUAUUUUAGUACGAAAGGACCAAAUAUUAAUUAUAUAAAUAAUUAUUUUUUUGAAUAAAAUUAUUACUUUGGCAGAUUAGUGCAAUAAAUUUAGA